UCCUGGUGGCUCAGACGGUAAAGCAACUACCUAUAAUGCGGGAGACCCAGGUUCGAUCCCUGGAUCAGGAA
rnacentral:tRNA from 1 species